rnacentral:rRNA from 1 species
UGGGGAAUUUUGGACAAUGGGGGAAACCCUGAUCCAGCCAUCCCGCGUGUGCGAUGAAGGCCUUCGGGUUGUAAAGCACUUUUGGCAGGAAAGAAACGUCAUGGGUUAAUACCCCGUGAAACUGACGGUACCUGCAGAAUAAGCACCGGCUAACUACGUGCCAGCAGCCGCGGUAAUACGUAGGGUGCAAGCGUUAAUCGGAAUUACUGGGCGUAAAGCGUGCGCAGGCGGUUCGGAAAGAAAGAUGUGAAAUCCCAGAGCUCAACUUUGGAACUGCAUUUUUAACUACCGGGAUAGAGUGUGUCAGAGGGAGGUGGAAUUCCGCGUGUAGCAGUGAAAUGCGUAGAUAUGCGGAGGAACACCGAUGGCGAAGGCAGCCUCCUGGGAUAACACUGACGCUCAUGCACGAAAGCGUGGGGAGCAAACAGG